AAAACAACAUUUGGCAACAACUCAAUACAUUUAGGCAUCUAGAUGUGGUGAAGACGACUUGCUGAAGCUCAAACCGAGCAUCAGAAUGGGGAAGAAAGAGGAUUUAAGUGACUGUGAACGUGGAAUGGU